rnacentral:rRNA from 1 species
UGGAUUAUCUACCCUGAGGUGGGGGAUAACCCGGGGAAACUCGGGCUAAUACCGCAUGACAUCGAGAGAUCAAAGGGGGCCGCAAGGCUCUCGCCAUGGGAGGAGUCCGCGUACGAUUAGCUAGUUGGUAGGGUAAUGGCCUACCAAGGCGACGAUCGUUAGCCGGCCUGAGAGGGUGAUCGGCCACACGUGGAACUGAGACACGGUCCAGACUCCUACGGGAGCAG